AUUAGAGACAAUCUAGUUACUUUUCGUAAAUAUUUGGAAACAUUUUUUUUUUCAUUUUUGGCGCAACCACUGUGCUCUGCCCGAUCUUUCAUGGCCGUGACAUGCUGUUUCCUGUCCGAAAAUAUUUGUGUGCCACGGAUUACAUUGCAGUAAUUGACUUAAUUUAAGCUGUGGACCGUGUUCGACACAAUUGCAGAUCCAUCAGCGCCCAGAAUGCAUUCUGAUACUGAUAAGUCGAAUCAGAAUCAGACAGAGCGGUGUGCUGUGUUCUGCUCAAAAAGGAAAGAGAGAGCGAAAACACGAUGACCAAGCGGGAGACAACAACGAGUAAACAAGGGCAAGAGCAACAGCAGCAGCGGACAAUAAAGCUGAUUGCAGCAGUGGCAAAUUGAAUAUUUGCCAGCGCGUAUGUGUGUGCAGCCCUUGUGUUUGUGUUUGUUCGCAUUGUUAAAUGUCCGCACCAGCAGAGCAGCCAAAUGGGAUGAUAGAAGCCGAAUGUCGGAUAGCGAGCAAGCAGAGCGAGUGGCUACCAUUGUUAAUCCGCAGUUCGCUCUCUGUGCCCUUUGCCUCCGCCUCCGCCCUCGUCUUCUCAGCUUGCUACCAAAACUCAACUUCAACCCUGCUCUCUGGGAACUCUUAUUUUCAAGCUGUUGCUUCAGCUUCCGCUCAUCGUUCAAUUGUUGCUCUGCGGAUGCAGCGCUCUCUGCCGGGAGCUGCAACUUCUGGGUCCGAUCCGUUCAUUAUUUAUCCGGCUAGUGGAAAGCAAAUACCGCGCACAAGCCACUUAGUACUAUUAAUCUCAGAUUACUCACUUGGCACGGCGAGGCGAUAACGUGCCACUGCCACAAACGGAACCGCAACGGCGAUAAAUACUUUCCACAGCGAAAAUAACACUGCUUUACAAAUUUACAAAUUCUGUGAUUAAAGCAUUUAAUCA